rnacentral:rRNA from 1 species
AUUGAACGCUGGCGGCAUGCUUUACACAUGCAAGCCGAACGGUAACAGGCCUUCGGGUGCUGACGAGUGGCGAACGGGUGAGUAAUGCAUCGGAACGUACCCAGAGGUGGGGGAUAACGCAGCGAAAGCUGUGCUAAUACCGCAUGUGAUCUGAGGAUGAAAGCGGGGGACCGAGCAGCAAUGUUUGGCCUCGCGCCUUUGGAGCGGCCGAUGUCGGAUUAGCUAGUUGGUGGGGUAAAGGCCUACCAAGGCGACGAUCCGUAGCUGGUCUGAGGGGACGACCAGCCACACUGGGACUGAGACACGGCCCAGACUCCUACGGGAGGCAGCAAUGGGGAAUUUUGGACAAUGGGCGCAAGCCUGAUCCAGCAAUGCCGCGUGCGGGAAGAAGGCCUUCGGGUUGUAAACCGCUUUUGGCAGGAACGAAACGGUGUCCGCUAAUACCGGGCGCUAAUGACGGUACCUGCAGAAUAAGCACCGGCUAACUACGUG